UACCAGCACCCCGAGCGGUCGGGACGAUUAUUGGGCCUAAAGCAUCCGUAGCCGGUCAUGCAAGUCUUCCGUUAAAUCCAGCCGCUCAACGGUUGGGCUGCGGAGGAUACUACGUGGCUAGGAGGCGGGAGAGGCAAGCGGUACUCAGUGGGUAGGGGUAAAAUCCUUUGAUCCAUUGAAGACCACCAGUGGCGAAGGCGGCUUGCCAGAACGCGCUCGACGGUGAGGGAUGAAAGCUGGGGGAGCAAACCGG
rnacentral:rRNA from 1 species